rnacentral:rRNA from 1 species
ACGGCUCAGUAACACGUGGACAACCUACCCUACGGAGGGGGAUAACCCCGGGAAACUGGGGAUAAUACCCCAUAGACUAUGGAUGCUGGAAUGCUCUGUAGCCGAAAGGUCCGCCGCCGUAGGAUGGGUCUGCGGCCGAUUAGGUUGUUGUUGGGGUAACGGCCCAACAAGCCUGUAAUCGGUACGGGUUGUGGGAGCAAGAGCCCGGAGAUGGAUUCUGAGACACGAAUCCAGGCCCUACGGGGCGCAGCAGGCGCGAAAACUUUACAAUGCGGGAAACCGUGAUAAGGGAACUCCGAGUGUCCGUAAAUGCGGACUGUCCGUAUGUUUAAAAAGCAUGCGAAGAAAGGGCCGGGCAAGACCGGUGCCAGCCGCCGCGGUAAUACCGGCGGCUCGAGUGGUGGCCACUAUUACUGGGCUUAAAGCGUUCGUAGCUGGGUUGUUAAGUCUCUUGGGAAAUCUACCGGCUUAACCGAUAGGCGUCCAAGGGAUACUGGCAAUCUAGGGACCGGGAGAGGUGAGGGGUACUUCAGGGGUAGGAGUGAAAUCCUGUAAUCCUUGGGGGACCACCUGUGGCGUAGGCGCCUCACCAGAACGGCUCCGACAGUGAGGGACGAAAGCUGGGGGAGCAAACCGGAUUAGAUACCCGGGUAGUCCCAGCCGUAAACGAUGCGCGUUAGGUGUAUCGAUGACCACGAGUCAUCGAGGUGCCGAAGGGAAACCGUGAAACGCGCCGCCUGGGAAGUACGGUCGCAAGGCUGAAACUUAUAGGAAUUGGCGGGGGAGCAC